CACGUAGGUAACCUACCCUCAGGACUGAGAUAACCCCGGGAAACUGGGGCUAAUAUUAGAUAGAUAAAAGAUACUGGAAUGUUCUUUUAUCCAAAGCUUUUGCGCCUGAGGAUGGGCCUGCGUCCGAUUAGGUUGUUGGUGGGGUAAUGGCCCACCAAGCCUACGAUCGGUACGGGCAGUGAGAGCUGAAGCCCGGAGUUGGGGACUGAGACAAGGCCCCAGGCCCUACGGGGCGCAGCAGGCGCGAAACCUCUGCAAUGCGGGAAACCGUGACAGGGGGAUCCCAAGUGCUCAUGCAUUGCAUGGGCUGUUCUUUGGUCUAAGUAACCAGAGGAGUAAGGGCUGGGCAAGACCGGUGCCAGCCGCCGCGGUAAUACCGGCAGCUCAAGUGGUAGCCGCGAUUAUCGGGCCUAAAGCGUUCGUAGCCGGAUAAGUAAGUCUUUGGUUAAAUCCUGCGACUUAACCGUGGGAAAUCUAGAGAUACUGCUUGUCUUGAGACCGGGAGAGGUUGGAGGUACUCCCAGGGUAGGGGUGAAAUCCUGUAAUCCUGGGGGGACCACCUGUGGCGAAGGCGUCCAACUGGAACGGG
rnacentral:rRNA from 1 species